rnacentral:rRNA from 1 species
GACGAACGCUGGCGGCGUGCUUAACACAUGCAAGUCGAACGGAAAGGCCCUGCUUUUGUGGGGUGCUCGAGUGGCGAACGGGUGAGUAACACGUGAGUAACCUGCCCUUGACUUUGGGAUAACUUCAGGAAACUGGGGCUAAUACCGGAUAGGAGCUCCUGCUGCAUGGUGGGGGUUGGAAAGUUUCGGCGGUUGGGGAUGGACUCGCAGCUUAUCAGCUUGUUGGUGGGGUAGUGGCUUACCAAGGCUUUGACGGGUAGCCGGCCUGAGAGGGUGACCGGCCACAUUGGGACUGAGAUACGGCCCAGACUCCUACGGGACGCAGCAGUGGGGAAUAUUGCACAAUGGGAGGAAGCCUGAUGCAGCAACGCCGCGUGCAGGAUGACGGCCUUCGGGUUGUAAACCGAUUUCGCCUGUGACGAAGCGUGAGUGACGGUAAUGGGUAAAGAAGCACCGGCUAACUACGUG